rnacentral:rRNA from 1 species
UGGGGAAUAUUGGACAAUGGGCGAAAGCCUGAUCCAGCCAUGCCGCGUGGAUGAUGAAGGCCUUAGGGUUGUAAAGUCCUUUCGGCGGGGAAGAUAAUGACGGUACCCGCAGAAGAAGCCCCGGCUAACUUCGUGCCAGCAGCCGCGGUAAUACGAAGGGACCAAGCGUUGUUCGGAUUUACUGGGCGUAAAGGGCGCGUAGGCGGCAAUUCAAGUCAUCUGUGAAAUCUCCGGGCUUAACUCGGAACGGUCAGAUGAUACUGCUUUGCUAGAGUGCAGAAGGGGCAAUCGGAAUUCUUGGUGUAGCGGUGAAAUGCGUAGAUAUCAAGAGGAACACCUGAGGUGAAGACGGGUUGCUGGGCUGACACUGACGCUGAGGCGCGAAAGCCAGGGGAGCAAACGGGAUUAGAUACCCUUGUAGUCCCUGAGCGGGCUGGCAAGGCGCAU